GCCAGGUGGGGUGGCGGGUGCCUGUAGUCCCAGCUACUCGGGAGGCUGAAGUGGGACUAUCGCUUGAGCCCAGGAGUUCUGGGCUGUGGUGCACUAUGCCAAUCGGGUGUCCUCACUAAGUUCAGCAUCAAUAUAAUGACCUCCCGGGAGCGGGGGACCACCAGGUUGCCUAAGGAGGGAUGAACCAGCCCAUUUCUGAAACUGAGCAGGUCAAAACUCCCAUGCCGAUCAGUAGUGGGAUUGUGCCUGUGAAUAGCCACUGCACUCCAGCCUGGGCAACAGAGCGAGACCCCAUCUCU
ensembl:misc_RNA Metazoa_SRP Metazoan signal recognition particle RNA